rnacentral:lncRNA from 1 species
AUCGAUAUGCUCCUUAUGCCAAUGAUAUGCUCCAAUUACCUUUCCUCGAUUGUAUGAACAAAACGUGCUUCGAACGAUACGACAUUGUAAUUCUGCAUUCAAACAAAACAUGCUAUUGUUUCAUCUUGUAUCUCUACUUUGUAUUUUGAUACCUUAUUUGUUUGAAACCUGUCCUCUUUGCUAUAGAUAUGUUAGUCAUUUGUUGAGCUUUAUAUGCUCACCCCGUUGCUAUAUAAAUUUUUCAGGAUAGCUUAUCGCUCGCUAAAAUAUGUAAAUUGGGUUGAGGCAGUGGAAGGCUAGAAGAUUUUGGGGCAAAUAUUUUGUACUUGAUAGGUUGAUGUUGUAUAAGUUCUUUUUGGGUGUAAUGAAAUAUCAAUGACAAAUCUAGAUUGGUAUAUCUUGUAAAUAUUUGAAAAGUACCUCUUACGUCAGGAUUUUGGAAAUGUUAAGUCUAAACUGUGUACUGAUAUAAAUAUGUAGUACAUGUUGGUUUUGUGAGUGCAUUAAUUGCCGCACUUAUGGAUUUAUGAUAUAGUUAUGGUUUAGUUAAGUUGCUUUUGGAUUUUAAAGAAUCAUCUAGUGACAUGAUGUAUGAUUAUAAACUGCACAAGUUUUGUGAAUUGUGGAUUGUAGAGGUGAAUGACUUGAAUAUUUUUCUUAGUGACCUCAAAUGUAUGAUUGGAUCCUGGAUUGUUUGUUGAAUUAUAAUUUUAUCAAUCUUGAGUUAGGUUCACACCUCCUAAAUGAGAAUUAAAUUCGGGAGGGGCGUGACAGAGUGGUAUCAAAGCAUGGUUUGAGGAGCACUGAAAUAUUUGAUAUGUUGACGUGCAAAAUAUAUUGAGGUCUAGUGAACUAUAGUGAUUGGUGAAAAUUUUAUUUGAUGCAUUUUAGGAAUCUAGGAUGACGAGGACAUUUAGUCCUCCUACUUCAUCUGCUUUUGAUUAAUUAAGUGCGAUAAAAGGGUUGAUCAGGGAUAUUAAAUCAGAGUGGCGCAGUAGAAGUGUGGUGAACCUAAUACAUUGGUAGCAAAAAAAAUAGAUGAUGCAAUUGGAGAAGAUAUUUGAUGUACAAAAUUGUUCUGAUGAUCAAAAGAAUUUAUGGAGAUCAAGGACAAGAAUAACAUGGAUAUGUUUACCAAAAAAAAAAAAGAUUAUAAAUGAAUUACAAUAUGAUAACAAGAGGGUCAAGACAUCAUCGAUUUAAAAAGGAAAGUCACCACAAAAGAUUCAAUCAUGUGUACGAUGUGAGUUAAAUUAUGAAAUAAGUUUGUAUUUGUAGGUGACUGGAUCCUAUUUUGCUUGUGGAAAUUUGGAUCAUAAAAUAAAAGACUGCCCUUUGGACAAGAAGAAAGAAUCACUGCCUCAUAAAUCAUCAGCCAAUGUCAGAGUGUAUGUUAUCACGGAAUAUGAUUCUAAAGCUUUUGAAUUAGUGGUCGAAGGUACUAUUCAUGUUUAUGAAAGAAUACAAAUAUUUGUUUGACCAUAUGUCUCAUAUAUGAUUUGAUUCGUAAUAUUUUGCUUAUCACAUGGGCAUUCAACCUGAACCAUUAGAUAUAUGCUAUAUGUAAAUACGGCUAUUGGGGAUUGUUUGAUAACAAACUCGAUCUGGUCAUCUUGUUUGAUUUCUAUUGGAGAACAUGAACUUCUUACUGAUUUGGUUCUCCUAGAUAUUUGGAGUUUUGAUAUUAUACUAAGUAUGGAUCGUCCAAUCAUACCAGUAUAGAUUGUUAUACAAAAUAAUCACUUUUUGCAUACUAGAUCAUCCCAUCUUUUAUUUUGAGAGUAUUGGGCAUGAUUUACCUCCUUGCUUGAUGUAUUCCUAGAUGACUUGUCUGGUUUACCUCCAGAUAGAGAGGGUGAAUUUACUAUUGAUUUGGUCCUUGGGACAAUCCCAAUAUCUAAGCUUCCUUACAGAAUGGCACCACUCGAGCUAGAGGAAUUGAAAAAGCAACUACAAGAACUAUUAGAUAAGGGUUUCAUUCGACCCAGUGUUUCACCAUGGGAUGCUCCGGUGCUAUUAGUUAAGAAGAAGGAUGGAACAUUAAGGCCUUAUAUUGAUUAUAGACAAUUGAAUCAGGUGACCAUCAAAAAUAAGUAUCCCCUACCCAGAAUUGAUGAUUUGUUUGAUUAAUUGCUGGGUGCACAAGUAUUCUCCAAGAUUGAUUUAAGGUUAGGUUACUAUCAGUUGAAGAUUAUGAAGGAGGAUAUUCCAAAAACAGCUUUUAGAACUCGAUAUGGUCACUAUGAAUUCUUAGUGAUGCCUUUUGGUUUAACUAAUGCCCUGCAGCUUUUAUGGAACUGAUGAAUAGGAUAUUUCAGCCAUUCUUGGAUGAUUGUGUGAUUGUAUUCAUUGAUGUCAUAUUAGUAUAUUCAAGGAGUAAUCAGGAGCAUGAGGAACACUUGAGAAAUAUAUUAUCCAUACUAAGAGAAAAGAAGUUGUAUGCAAAGUUCAGCAAAUGUGAAUUUUGGUUGAAUGAAGUUGCUUUCUUAGGCCAUGUGAUUUCAGGGAAGGGUAUAUUGGUUGAUCCAAAGAAAGUGGAAGCUGUUGUUAAGUGGGAAGUACCAACAAACAUGAUAGAAGUUAGAAGCUUCUUGGGCAUGAUAGGUUAUUAUAGGAGAUUUGUGGAGGGAUUUUCUUAAAUCGCUCAACCUCUCACCAAACUCACUCAAAAGAAUGUGAAAUUUGUAUGGGAUGAUGAUUGUGAGCAAAGUUUUCAAGAGUUAAAAAGGAGAUUGACUAGUGCCACUAUUCUCACUAUUCCAAGUGGUGAUGAGGGAUUUAUGAUUUACACUGAUGCCUCAAGAAAGGGCCUUGGAUGUGUUUUGAUGCAAGAAGGGAAAGUGAUUGCUUAUGCUUCUAGACAACUAAAGAGUUAUGAACUGAAUUAUCCAACUCAUGAUUUGGAAUUGACAGCAAUUGUUUUUGCUCUAAAGAUUUGGAGGCAUUACUUGUAUGGGCGAACAUUUGAAAUAUUUACUGAUCAUAAGAGUUUAAAGUAUAUUUUUACUCAAAAAGAGUUAAACAUGAGACAGCGGAGAUGGAUAGAACUUUUAAAAGAUUAUGAUUGUACUAUUCGUUAUCACCUGGGUAAAGCUAAUGUUGUAGCAGAUGCCCUUAGUAGAAAAUCUACAAGUUUUAUGGCAACUUUGGUUAUGAAGCAAUGAAAGUUAUUAGAAGAGAAUUAUGAUUCGAAUGUUAUGAGAAAUGGGCAAGAAUCAAUGAUAUUAAUGACCUCCAUCCAAGUGCAAUCUGACCUCAUUCAACAAAUUAAAGGAGGACAACUACGAGAUUGACGCUUGAUCUGCUUAAGGAAUGAAGUAGAAAAGGGAUUGAAACUGAAUUUUCGAGUUUCAGAGGAUGGCCUAUUGAGAUUUGGGGAUAGAAUAUGUGAUCCAAAUGACUCAUAUAUCAAAAAUCAAAUCCUGAGGGAUAGUCAUAAUUCAAAGUACACCAUGCAUCCUGGUAGCACUAAGAUGUAUAGAGAUCUCCAAAGUCAUUAUUGGUGGGAAGGCAUGAAGAAGGAGAUUGCAAUAUAUGUUUCAAAGUGUUUGACUUGUCAACAAAUCAAAGCAGAACACCAAAGACCUGGAGGUUUGUUGCAACCUUUAGAUAUUCCUGAAUGGAAAUGAGAAUGUAUUACCAUGGACUUUAUUUCAGGACUACCCCGAACUUCUAGAAAGCAUGAUGCUAUUUGGGUUAUCAUUGAUAGGUUAACGAAAUCUGCACAUUUUCUACCGAUCAAUAUGACUUAUUCUCUUGAUAGGCUUGCAGAUUUAUAUAUAAAUGAAAUAGUAAGAAUUCAUGGUGUUCCAAAGGAGAUAAUCUCUGACAGAGACUUCAGAUUUCUAUCUAGAUUUUGGAGAAGGUUACAAGAAUCUAUUGGCACUAAAGUUAAGUUUAGCACUGCUUAUCACCCUCAAACUGAUGGUCAAUCAGAAAGAACCAUUCAAACACUUGAGGAUUUGCUUCGAGCCUAUGUUAUGGAUUGGAAAGGUGAAUGGGAUAAAGAUAUCUCUCUUAUUGAGUUCACUUACAAUAAUAGUUAUCAUUCAAGUAUUCAGAUGGCUCCUUAUAAAGUUUUAUAUGGGCGAAAGUGCAGGACGCCUAUAUGUUGAGAAGAAAUUGACGAUAGAAAGUUAUUAGCACCAGAAAAAGUACAAGAGACUACUGAGAAAAUUCAACUUAUAAGAAAAAGGUUAAAGACUACUCAGAGUCGUCAAAAGAGUUAUGCUGAUAACAGAAGACGAAAUAUUGAGUUUCAAAUCGGGGAUUUUGUAUUCCUGAAGGUCUCCCCUUCUAAAGGCAUUAUAAGAUUUGGGAAGAAAGGAAAGUUAAGCCCAAGAUUUAUUGGACCUUUUGAGAUUCUUGAGAGGGUUGGUUCUAUCGCUUACAGGAUUGUCUUGCCACCAUCAUUGUGCCAUAUCCAUGAUAUAUUUCAUGUUUCAAUGAUCAGAAAGUAUAUACCUGAUCCCUCUUGUAUCAUUAAGUAUGAGCCGAUGGUGAUUGAUAAAGAUUUAUCUUAUGUGGAAGAGCCCACUCAGAUUGUUGAUAAAAAAUAAAAGAUCUUGAGGAAUCGGGUUAUCCCUCUAGUUAAAGUGAUCUGGAGAUAUCAUUCUGGAGAGGAAAUAACUUGGGAGCUUGAGGAAAAAAUGAUGAAAGCUUAUCCUCAUCUUUUCGUCGAAUGAGGUAUGAUAAAUUUAGAGGACUAAAUUUUUCUUUAAGGAGGGGAGAGUGAAACAUCCCCUAUUUUUAAAAAUUUAGUAAAAGGUUUGUUUGUAAAAAUAAGGUAUUAUAUUAAAUAAUUAAAAAAUAAGGUAACAUCCCCUAUUUAAUAAUUAUUUUAUAUUAAAUGAUAUUAUAUUAAAAGUUUAUGGCUAGGCACCUAAGAGUAAAUAUUAGAAGUUUGAUAUAAUUUAUGAAAGAUUCAGAUUUAAGUUAAAAAAAAAAAUAGUGGAUAUGUGUCACUAACUAACCUAAGGUUGGUGCCACUUAUCUUUGCUCUAAAGAUGACACCUAGCCCCUUUCAUGCAUGCAUGACACCUUGCAACUUUUGCAUUAGCCAAAAACCCAAAUAAUUAGAUGAAAGGUUAAAGAAAAUAAAGCUGAAGAGUUGCAGCCAAUUUUUCCACAUUUGAGGUUUUUCAACAAUUUGUUCACAUUUGGGAUUCAAAUAAUUUUAAGGCAAGUAUUCUAACCCCAUCCCACAGUAACCUUAAUCUCUGUUUCCAUUUUUAUUCUACAAAAUUCGAAAGAUUUCAACUGAGAACUAGACCUUCUUUCGUUUUGAUACAAAGCUAGGAAUCUGUAAUUUUUCAGUAAUCUGACCUCUAUGCAAUGUUUAGGUCAUAACAUUUUGUAAUAAACUCUAAUUUAGACAAAACCUAUUCCAUUUGAAAGUAGACAAAAAAAUCUUUAUUUUGAUACAAAGAUUGAAUGAUUUGGAGUUUAAAUGCCUACUAAGACUUUUGUUUAAAUUAACCAUACAGAUUCUGUAAAACAGGGACGGAAAUUUCUGACCUCUUGUUGCUUAACUACUUAUAGCUUUCUACUGUGAAUUCAGAUUCAUACAAAGUAUGAUUUAUUCAAAGUUAGACUAAAAAUUCUUUCUGUGUAUUCCUGAUUUGAAAUUUUUAGAGUACAAUUGCUAAUUGAAACAUCUUUUUAUUUUUUAUUUUUGGUAAGUCUAACUGAAACAUCUGCUUUCAUCGACCCUAUGGAUUCAGUAAAACAGAGCUAAUAUUUUCAGACCUUUCACUACGAAAUUAUCUGUAACUCCCUGUUGUAAAUUUCAGUUCUUGUAAAACUUGAUUUUCCUAAAACUAGAUUGACAAAGCUUUUUAAUUUCACCUAUUUUGUAUAUAUUGGAGCAUAAUUGGUUAUCCAAAUAGUUCAAACAAUGUUCCUAUCAAAUUCUGCCAGAAUCGAGCUUUGGUCGAUUUCGGGUUUCCUUGUUACUUCUCUUUGGAAAUCAAUUUCGACAAAAACUCUUACUUCAGUUAAGCUUUACAUUAUUAUCUUAAAUUUCUAUAUACUUUUAUUCUUUAUUUAUUUGUACAUCUGCAGCUAUCAUCUAAAGUUCAUGUUUACAUCGUAAUGAAUCGGCACAUGCAUCCCAUUGUUCCACAUUUUGCUUUCGAUAUGUGCCUAUUCUAAUUUCAUUUCUUUAGACAUUGAAUUUAUCUAACUUUCUUAUUUCAAUUGAGCUAUAUGUGAUUUCUUGAAAUCCUUGUAUGCCCUUGCUUUUGUUUUCUUUCAAAUCUAAAUAUAUUUGUGAAAGAUUAUGUUUGUAUCGUAUUGACUCAAAAGGCAUAUGUACAUUUUGUUGUUCCGCAUGUGCUUCCAAUAUAUGCUAUUUUCAUUAUUCAUACUGUCCCUUUGUACUCUGGUGUUUGUGGGAUAAAUGUGAACCUUUGCUAGAAAUGGUAAAGGGAGUUAUGCUUAGAGCCCGUGAUGCUCUACCGGCCCCCCUAUGACUUCAUUCAGACGUGGGUGGAUGGAGCUCCCAGACGUGGGAGACUUAUGUUUGGUGGUCAUUCAGAAAUGGAUGGACCAUAUUAUGUUAUGAUCCCACUUCACCUUCUAUGUGUUUGAUAUGAUAUUCAAAGAUUUGGCUAUGUUUCUAUGCAUGCUUUGAUAAGAAUGAAAUGAAUGCAUCGUCAUGUGACAUUUGAGGUUCUAUUCAUGUUUUGUUCUUUGAUAUGUUUCCGAAAUGUUAUAAGUCUUUAUUAUACCUUGAAAACUACCAUAUGUCAUCGAUAUGCUCCUUAUGCCAAUGAUAUGCUCCAAUUACCUUUCCUCGAUUGUAUGAACAAAACGUGCUUCGAACGAUACGACAUUGUAAUUCUGCAUUCAAACAAAACAUGCUACUGUUUCAUCUUGUAUCUCUGCUUUGUAUUUUGAUACCUGAUUUGUUUGAAACUUGUCCUCUUUGCUAUGGAUAUGUUAGUCAUUUGUUGAGCUUUAUAUGCUCACCCCGUUGCUAUAUAAAUUUUUCAGGAUAGCUUAUCGCUCGUUAAAAUAUGUGAAUUGGGUUGAGGCAGUGGAAGACUAGAAGAUUUUGGGGCAAAUAUUUUGU